CCCCACCCGCCACCCCCCAGCUAGUUCUUAUGACAGUUCUGGGCGAUACCGGGUACCCAGGACCCAGCCCCCAGGUGGGCCACCCGACUCGUUCCCUGCUCCGCACUGUCACUGUGGGACCAGGCGGUAGACCCCAGUGUGGUCGGAUCCCGCCCUGUCCUCUGGGCCUGGGGAUGGUGGUGGGUGGAGGCAGCCCCGAGCAGCCUCCGCUUCACCCCAGGGUCUGGUUUUGGUGACCUGCCCCCCAAGGCGCCUGCGCAGAGGUUAUUUCCUGCAGAAGCGAAGCCCUCAGCCCCACGCCCCUCCGCUGACUUCCAGACUCUGAUGCGUCUCUUGUUGUUUGCUGUGUAGACAACAUUUUGCUGCCCUUACCUUCUGUAGUAGUUUGAGUUAGGGUGAGGCUAUAACAAAGGUGACCAUCUGUAAACCAGGAAGUGCACCCUCACCAGAUAUGGAUUUGCUGGCAUCUUGACCUUGGACUUCCCAGCCUCCAGAAUGGUAAGAACUUUGUCAUCAAACACCUGGAAGGUUCUACUAUUCACAGUCAGCUCUUCAACCAAAACUGAGGCUUAACUAAUCACACACAGCUCAGAGAACCUGUCUUUGGAAAACUGCCACCAUUUACCUGCCCUGCCCAAAGGCAACCUUCGGGUUACUGAGGUUCCCCACAGCAGCUUGCCAGGAUUAGAAUGCUUAAACUUCCCUGGACAUCUUGUGCCUCCUUAAUGAACUGGGUAGUGUUCCAGGCUUUAGUUCUUCCUAUGGGCAGAUAAUUGGUUUGAAUUUGAACUUAAAGGUUAUUACCACAAUUGUUUUACUCUUAAUAUCCACUCAUUAACUGGUCAUUAAUGGAUGCCCAGCUUGCCUGAGCCUUGAGGGGCAGCACCUUGUGAGUGAGGAACCAGAAUUUGCCAAGCCAAGGGCCACAAAAAUACUGACCAGAAUGAGAAAGCAGGGACAGAAAAUACAACCUGGGGUUUCAGAUCUAGCAGGUCUCAGCAGAGGCAAGAGCCAGAAUUGGGAAUGGUUAGCAACGAGACAUUGUCAAAGUAAAACCAGGUAUGAGCUGGAGAACCUGUAGAGUUCACUGGUGGGUUCAAGAAUUCAGGGGGUUCAUGAGAAGCCCCUCUUAAGCCAGCCUUUGCUGAGUUUCUUUGAGCCAAAGACAGAGUCUUCGGGGGACUACUCUGGGCAGAAGGUGAGAGGACAGAGGUGAGGAUGCUGGCAGGAUAAUCAACUCACCCCAGGGGUGUUCUUGGUUUCGGCACUGAAAGCCUGGCAUUCCAAUGACACUCUAGUGACCACCUCAGUCCCAGGAAACCAGGACAGUCGGGUUCCCCUGGUGCUUGGCUGCACGUAAGCAUAACAUGAGACGCAGAGGUGGUCUCUGUAGUAGGCCCCAUCUCAUAGACAGACAAGCAAAGGCCCCGCUGAGGGCUGGGAUGGACUAUGGAGGCUGACAGAAGAGCCUCCAGGUGAGGAAUAACUUGCACAAGGAAGGAAAAAAUGUUGGAAGGGGCCUGUGCUGAGGGACGUCUCCAAAGUUCUUGCUAAAACUGAGAUCUACAGAUGUGUUCAAAUGUCCAUACAGGUGUCCUUCAACCAUCUGGUGUCCUUAGGAAAGAGAAGAAUAAUUUUAUAUUUAUACUUCGCUAAUUUAAGGCAGAGUUUAACGAGCCCAGUCACCCUCAGUGUCUGUUUUAUCUGCAUGUUAAAUAUUUGGGGAUUCGCAGUCAGCCUUCUUUAGGUCACUGUAGCAAUUCAGAAGAUCAUAAAUCUCUUUGUCCUAAACCACCCCACCCCCAUCCUUCCCAGUGCUCCAAACUCACAAAUAAAGUGGUGGAAAAUGGUUUCGCUGCUAAGAAAAGAAGCAAUUACCUAUUUUCUUUACUUUGACCCAUGACAUAUAAAGACAUUAAUCUGUGAUACAGCAAAUGCUCUACAAUACUGAUAAUGUUUAUCCACACUCAGUACAACCUACAUUGGUGGCCGUUUUUCCAAUUGUAGUCAUGGGUUUACCCUAUACCAGCACUUUUCAAUUUAUUGAUUUUACCUUACAGCAGCAGAGUCCUUUUGCUUGAACAGAAUGUACAUAAUACUCUGAUAUAUAAAAAAGACAAAAUGUGAUCUGCUGUGAGUCGAGGGAACAGGUAGAUGAUCAGGAACCAUCUCACUCUCCCCUGCAAAGCGUAAGACACC